GUAGGUGAACCUGCGGAAGGAUCAUUAAUAGUGCCCUUUGAUGCAAAUCAUUGGGUUAGAUCUGCUCUCUUCGCAAGAAGAGGGUUUCCAUACACACCGUGAACUGUGGCUUCGGCCAUCACAAACUGUUAGUAAUGAAUGUAAUAUCAUAACAAAAACAAAACUUUUAACAACGGAUCUCUUGGCUCUCGCAUCGAUGAAGAACGCAGCAUCUGACUGACUCUCGGAUGG
rnacentral:misc_RNA from 1 species